CAGUUCUGCCACAAGGUUUCCAAGACGUAGAAGUACCAAGGGAGAACUCAUGCAGGGACAGGUCGCAGCAGUCCUUCAUGGAGACAAACUGUCACACAGUUGGGGUACAGCUCUCAGCCACACAGAGCUCAUCAGAGCAGGAGAGACAGGGAAGGGCGAGGGAGUCCCUCUAGGUAGCACGUGCUUUGCCCUGGGUGCUUUACUGUGUCAUCUCAAUUUCUACCAGAGCCAAGAUGGCUCCUCUCCAACAGUCAUCUUCAGGUGAGAGAAUUUAGGACUGGAGGUGAAACUGACUUCUAAAUCGAUAGCAAGAGAAAACAUCAGAAGCAACAGAAUAUAAAAUACCGAGAGCAAGAAUAUUGUAAAUGCCCCCAAGGAAGCAUCUAGAAAACUGAUGUGUGAUUUCUAGGCAUACUGCACAGUUUUGCUAUUUACUAUGAGCCAGGGAUCAUUUUCCACUUGGAUGAUGCUGAAGAUGGCCUGGAUCCUGCACACCGUGAGUCCUGACUCCAUGCGUGGUAUAGCUGAUGAGAAACAACAUUCAAAAAAAGCAAACCAAGAACUUGAAAGCAAGGAGUGUUGGUGAUGAUACCAAACACAUGGACGGGGGCCGUGAUGCAGGGCAUAGAGAGCAGGAGAAGGUUAUCUCUCCCAGUUUAUUGUCACCCCACUUUGAACAUCAGCUUCCUCACAGCUGUUACCAUCUGCUCAGAUCUGUCUCCGUGGAUGGAAGGAAAACCUUCACAAGUCUGGCAUGAUGUCAGCCGAUUCAGGGAAGGGCAGUAAUUAGGAGCAAGGCUCUGACUCCGAGAUUUCAAAUUCCAGCCCAGCUUUGCAACCUUGGGGUGGUUCAGGCACCUGAGCCAGCAGCAUAGCAACCAUGGCUCUUAGGUAGCAGGUUGGUGGAUCCCUCUGAAAAGGGAUGGACUUCUGCUGUGGAUACACUUCUCAGCUGAGGCUGCAC
rnacentral:lncRNA from 1 species